rnacentral:rRNA from 1 species
GACGAACGCUGGCGGCGUGCUUAACACAUGCAAGUCGAACGGAAAGGCCCUGCUUUUGUGGGGUGCUCGAGUGGCGAACGUGUGAGUAACACGUGAGUCACCUGCCCUUGACUUUGGGUUAACUUCAGGAAACUGGUGCUAAUACCGGAUAGGAGCUCCUGCUGCAUGGUGGGGGUUGGAAAGUUUCGGCGGAUGGGGAUGGACUCGCGGCUUAUCAGCUUGUUGGUGGGGUAGUGGCUUACCAAGGCUUUGACGGGUAGCCGGCCUGAGAGGGUGAACGGCCACAUUGGGACUGAGAUACGGCCCAGACUCCUACGGGAGGCAGCAGUGGGGAAUAUUGCACAAUGGGCGGAAGCCUGAUGCAGCAACGCCGCGUGCGGGAUGACGGCCUUCGGGUUGUAAACCGCUUUCGCCUGUGACGAAGCGUGAGUGACGGUAAUGGGUAAAGAAGCACCGGCUAACUACGUG